rnacentral:rRNA from 1 species
GACGAACGCUGGCGGCGUGCUUAACACAUGCAAGUCGAACGGAAAGGCCCUGCUUUUGUGGGGUUCUCGAGUGGCGAACGGGUGAGUAACACGUGAGUAACCUGCCCUUGACUUUGGGAUAACUUCAGGAAACUGGGGCUAAUACCGGAUAGGAGCUCCUGCUGCAUGGUGGGGGUUGGAAAGUUUCGGCUGUAGGGGAUGGACUCGCGGCUUAUCAGCUUGUUGGUGGGGUAGUGGCUUACCAAGGCUUUGACGGGUAGCCGGCCUGUGAGGGUGACCGGCCACAUUGGGACUGAGAUACGGCGCAGACUCCUACGGGAGGCAGCAGUGGGGAAUAUUGCACAAUGGGCGGAAGCCUGAUGCAGCAACGCCGCGUGCGGGAUGACGGCCUUCGGGUAGUAAACCGCUUUCGCCUGUGACGAAGCGUGAGUGACGGUAAUGGGUAAAGAAGCACCGGCUAACUACGUG